rnacentral:tRNA from 2 species
GGUGGGGUGGCCGAGCGGUUUAAGGCGGCAGUCUUGAAAACUGCUGUAUCCGAAAGGGUACCGUGAGUUCGAAUCUCACCCCCACCGCCA